GACGAACGCUGGCGGCGUGCCUAAUACAUGCAAGUUGAGCGCUGAAGGUUGGUACUUGUACCAACUGGAUGAGCAGCGAACGGGUGAGUAACGCGUGGGGAAUCUGCCUUUGAGCGGGGGACAACAUUUGGAAACGAAUGCUACUACCGCAUAAAAACUUUAAACACAAGUUUUAAGUUUGAAAGAUGCAAUUGCAUCACUCAAAGAUGAUCCCGCGUUGUAUUAGCUAGUUGGUGAGGUAAAGGCUCACCAAGGCGAUGAUACAUAGCCGACCUGAGGGGGUGAUCGGCCACAUUGGGACUGAGACACGGCCCAAACUCCUACGGGAGGCAGCAGUAGGGAAUCUUCGGCAAUGGACGAAAGUCUGACCGAGCAACGCCGCGUGAGUGAAGAAGGUUUUCGGAUCGUAAAACUCUGUUGGUAGAGAAGAACGUUGGUGAGAGUGGAAAGCUCAUCAAGUGACGGUAACUACCCAGAAAGGGACGGCUAACUACGUG
rnacentral:rRNA from 1 species